GUUGUUGUUGUUUUGUUUGUUUGUUUUGCUUUUUAUGGCCACACCUGAGGCACAUGGAGGUUCCCAGGCUAGGGGUCUAAUCAGAGCUACAGCUGCUGGCUUAUGCCACAGUCACAGCAAUGCCAGAUCCAAACUGCGUCUUCAACCUACACCACAGCUCAUGGCGAUGCCGGAUCCUUAACCCACUGGGCGAGGCCAGGGAUUGAACCCGCAACCUCAUGGCUCCUAGUCGCAUUUGUUUCCGCUGUGCCGUGAUGGGAAUUUCAAGCCAUACUCAUCUUAUAUUUUGGUGUGACUCUUUUUGUACAGUGUCCACAGCCCGGAAUGCCCAAAUCCCUGAAUCAGACUUGCCUGCCACAUUUGACUUCAUGCACGGAACCAGCAAGAAGGGUUCUUUGAAUUUUGCAAGGAGAAGAAGUAGCAUCAGGCAUGUGCUCUGCCUGCCUCUCCCACCGCACAGAGAGGAAGAAAGAAGAAAAACCUCGUGGCAUCCUUUGGGGAGCUCCCGGCUACAGAAAGUCAAGACAGUAACACCUGCUUUCUCAGGCCAGGUUGGGGGCUCAGCUAAGGCACCUCCUUCUGGAAGGGAGCAACCAGGUCGCCUGGGCAGUUUCUGCUGUGCGUCUGGGGUGACCUCCUGAGUCUGUUGCUCUGAUGGGGACCUGUGGACGGCUGUUGUCCCUGUCCCGACAGGCUCCAUGGUCCAAGAACAGAGCCAAGGCCAGAAUCGCUCAGGGAGAAGGCCACCCUCUGUCUGGUUUCUCAGAUUCCAAGCCCUGCCUGGUGGAUCUUCCAGCACCUCCUCGCUCAGCGACUCAGAGACGUAAAUUUUCAGGGUCUGUUUCUCGGUCUGCAGCCGCCGAGUGAUGGAUUUCACUUGGAUCCGGUGGUGAUGGAGCUCCCCCAGUCCGGGGACCACCCUUGAAGAGUGGUGGCAGCUGGAAUGGAAGGGGGCAGCGAAAGCGGUGCCUCGGCCAGGGGAGGAGGAGGGCCCCCAAGGAAGGACUUGACCCGGGCCACACCACUGUGUUAGCGGCAGCCUCAGGGCCCCCACGCAGGACCCCUGCUGAGGUCCCCACGCUGUGUGUGAGUUGUCACUCUCGGUGUCUGAGGGCAGCAGGAAUUGUAGAGAAAAGGGAAAGUCAGAACCACCCCCCCAUCUGCUGCAUCCGCUGUGGGCUUCCCCCAAACCCCCUCCUCUCCUGCUUGCUUUU
rnacentral:lncRNA from 9 species